UUCCAGUGUUGAAGUGGCGCAAGACUGCUUCGUAUGUGUGAUCCAGGCACUCAAGUUGACAUGACAGAAAUAACUGAAAGCAGUCUUUGGACAGGUGCAGAACAUUAGUAUGACGUCAACAAGAGGAGAAGAAACCGAUGAGAACUACUAGCAUGUUUGAAGGAGAUGCAUCCUCUACACUUGAAUACCCAGUGCAAC